rnacentral:lncRNA from 1 species
GGGCUUUCCUCUUCCUGUCUGUCAUGUCCAGCCUGUGAAGAGCACGCUGGCUGAGCUGGCGAGAGGGGUGGGGGCGUCCUGGGGCUGCUUCUGCUCUGAUGAAGGCACCCACUGUCACUGUCCCGGCCCUCGCUGAGUGUUCCCGGACCCGUGGGCCCGCGUCUGUGCCAGGCCUUGGGGAGCUCCAGCCUCGGAGCCUCUUCCCGUUCUCAGACCUCAGUGCGAGGAGGAAAUCGGGAUUCAAGUCUGCAAAAUAGAGGGGAGACCCCUAGGAGCUUGGGGACUGCGGAGGCCCCUAGGCCCAGGUUGAGACUGUGCUGCACUGCUGCUUUGUAAACCUGGAAGAUUUUUAUCGUGAAUAAAUACCUGCCGCAACAAUGCCUAAUGCUUUUGUGGGGUUCUGUUAUUUGGAUGUGCCACUGGCGGUGACGGCUGGCCCC